rnacentral:rRNA from 1 species
GACGAACGCUGGCGGCGUGCUUAACACAUGCAAGUCGAACGGAGUGGCGAACGGGUGAGUAACACGUUGGUGAACUGCCUUGCACUUCGGGAUAAGCUUGGGAAACUGGGUCUAAUACCGGAUAGUGCAAGAUGAGCUCGCGGCCUAUCAGCUUGGUGGUGGGGUAAUGGACGCGCAAGGAGUCGACGGUUAGCCGGCCUGAGAGGGGGUACGGCCACAUUGGGACUGAGAUACGGCCCAGACACCUACGGGAGGCAGCAGUGGGGAAGAGUGCACAAUGGGCGGAAGCCUGAUGCAGGGACGCCGGGUGGGGGAUGAAGGCCUUUGGGUUGUAAACUCCUUUCGACAGGGACGCGGUACCUGUAUAAGAAGCACCGGCUAACUACGUGCCAGCCGCCGCGGUAAUAC